rnacentral:lncRNA from 1 species
GCAGUUUCUGGAGACCAAACAAGCUUCAUGAUGGAAAAUAUCACUUUCUUGAUUUUCUUUCACUUUCUUGUGUGAGUGUUGUUAUCUUCACUUUCCUGAUUUUCUUUCACUUUCUUUUGUGUCUUACAAGAACAAAGAUGGAGGAAGGUACAGAGGUACAAGUUGACGUACGGGGAAAGGGGUUAGGUGAGUAUAUAACUUGAUAAGUGGUGUUGCAUAUAUAUGAAUAUAUGAAUUGAGAGAGAGAGAGAGAGAGAGAGAGAGAGAGAGAGAGAGNUGUAGAUUAUAAUAAGCCAAAAAUAUAAAAGGAAAGAAAAUAGUGUUGUCGUAGAUAUAAGUCACAGCCAAAUGUUUUCGGUUCAAUUUUGGAUCAAAUAUAUUUUGGCUAAAUACAUGAUCAUGAUAAAGGAUCGAAAAGAGAAUACUACUCAUGAUGAAUCAUGUCUGAAUCGGUGUAAGAAAUAACAAUGAUAGAUAGUCUAAUAAUAAAAAUUGUAAUAAAGGAUAGUUAUGGAAUUUUAAAAUAAUCUAAGGAUAAUAUUGACAAUGUAAUAAAAUUUUGAAGAGCGUGCCUCCUCCCUCUUCGGGAAAAAACUCAAAUUUAGGGGAAGCAAAAAAUAAGUAUAGCUAGGAAGGAUUUUGUUUCCCCAUUCUCUCCCCUCCUAAAAAUUUAAUCAAACACGUUAAAUUAAAAACAUUUUACCUCGAACACGUUAAAUAAUCUAAGGAUUUUGUUUCGACUCUCCUUCCCUCCCCUCCAUUUACCUCGAACCAAAUUGACUAUAAAUGUGUAUAAUAGUGCACGUUAUUAAAAACAUGUAAAUGGAGGAUUUUGUUUCGACUCUCCUUCCCUCCCCUCCAUUUACCUCGAACCAAAUGGACUCUAAAUGUGUAUAAUAGUGCACGUUAUUAAAAACAUGUAAAUGGGGGAUUUUGUUUCGACUCUCCUUCCCUCCCCUCCUUUUACCUCGAACCAAAUGGACUCUAAAUGUGUAUGAUAGUGCACUUUAUUAUAGUUGAUCUAUCGAAAUUGUAAACACAUUUUAAAAUAGAUGACUAUUAAAAACAUUCUUUUUUUUAACAUUAAUUUGUUUAUAUACUAAAAUUUACAUGUCUCAUUUUGAGAAUAGAUCUUAUAUAAAAUGCUAAAAUCGACAACGUUAAAAAGAUAAUGUUCUUAACAUUCUUCUCGUCAGAGUAUAUCUUUAAUUAGUUUAGUUUUGGAAUGAGCCUUUUUAAUCUUCAAAUUUCUUUUUCAUUACUUAUUGAAUUUGAUUCAUUAUACUCUCUCCGUCCCUUAAUGUAGGCAUUCAUUGCAUAUUUCAAGACAAUUAUUACAGUAAGAAAUAGUAUAAUAAUAAAUACACAUUUAGAGACAAGUUAGUUAGUAGUAUUAAUUAGGGGUGUUAAAUUUAAUUUUUCAUAUUUCAAGACAAAUUAAUAGUAUUAAUUAUGAAUAUGUUUAGGAAAAAAAUAAUAAAUACAUCUAGUAAUUUAAAAGAGGGUUUACAUUUAUGGACAAAAAUUAAGUCAAACGGGAGCUUAAAUAGGGACGGAGGGAGUAUAUACAACCAAAAAAAUACUUGAAAAUGUAUUUACAAUUUUGAUGUCGGAUUAGGAUUAUGAAUGUUACAGUUAGUGGUAGCCUUUAUUAAAGUUCCAACUUGUCGUUAUGCAAUACGAAUUAAAUUAUGUUUUAUCAUUCUAUUUAAUGUCCGUUUGUCAAUUUGAGUGGUUUAUGUUUGACAAAGUUGCCUUAGUUAGAAGUAGAAAGUCCUUUCUUGACCCAAGAAAAAAAAAAAAAAAAAAAAAAAAACUAGAAGUCCUUAUUUUACUCUUGGCUAAAUUGUAUUUUUGGUCCUUAAUUAUUUAGAUAAUAUCAUUUUGGUCCCUUAAUUAAAAUUUGAUUUAUUUUGAUCCCUUAACUUCUCUCGUUACACAUUUUGGUUCUUUCCGUUAGUUUUAAUUCAAAAACGUUAGGUUUUUUUCAUCUUCUUCUCCUCUUUUUUAUCUUCAACAACAAGAAUUCCAGAAAAAUUCCAAAAGAAAAUGAAGAAAACCUAACGUUUUUGAAUUAAAAAUAACAGAAAUGACGAAAAUGUUUAAGGGAGAGAAGUUAAGGGACCAAAAUAAAUCGAAUUUUAAUUAAGGGACCAAAGAAAUAUUACCUAAAUAGUUAAGGGACCAAAAAUACAAUUUAACAUUUUACUCUUUUUUGGUGAAUGUCAUCAUUUUACUACUUUUUUGUGUCAAAAAUCAACUUACUCGUUUGUUUUUUUAGAAGUACUCGUUUGUAUUUUAUCGAAAAAAUAUAUACAUUUGGACUAAUUAAUUAUGUUUCUAAAAUGUAUUUUUUUUUUUUGGAAUAUUAAAAAAUUGCUUCUAAAAUGUAUAUUUUUUUUAGCAAAAAAAUGUAUAAUUUAUUACUUAUACAAUUGGACUAAUUAUGGUUAUUUGUCAUUCACUUCAAUUGGAGAUUUGCACACAAACAAAGAAUGCACCUCUUAGGCUCAAGUUGACAUCCAUGUGAUUUUGUGAUAUUAAUCCUAAAAGGUUCCUACAAAUUUCUGCAAGAUAAAUGUAUCAGUUGAGUCAAAUUUUUCUCCUCUCUUGAGCCGGCAUCCAAUUUGGUAAACUUAAAUUUUUCUUCUUUAUCCGCCAAAUAAAUGUGAUUUAGGGUUAAUUUUUUAUGUGAAAGCAUCUCUCAAUUGUUUUUAUUCAUCCAUUUUAUUUAAAUAAAGUGAUUUAUAUAUAUAUAGAGACAGAGUCAGGAUCCGUUGACACCUGGUGUCAACGGAUUCGUUGACACAAAAUCUUAACCGUCUAUUUUAUUUAAUCAAAGGCUCAUAACAGUUUCUAAACUAACUCAUCCUUUCUCUGGUGUAUAGGAUUGUCGUUCUUAAGAAUUGAAAAACACAAUUCCGCUACGUAACAUGCUUACUAUUUUUCUAUACACCUAGAAUUGGAAGCUAAUUUACAAACUAAUAUAUCCAAAUCCAAUCAAUUUAAACAUCAUAUUCUCAUACCAAACCCAUCGAAAUACCCCUAAAUUCAUUAUUUUUUUCUUCAAUUGCAAUAUUUUCCAUAAUAUUGGCACAAAUUUUCUUUAUGAGCUGUUAUUUUGGUAUGAGAAAUUAACAGAUAGGGAAUAGAGAUGUGGAUAAUGAAUAACAAAUUUUCCAUAAAAGAAUAAGGAGGGGUAUAACGAUGCACCCUGUUUUCAAUUCAAGACUUUCAGUGAUUGAAAACAAUAAUGUGUCUUUUAUGGGAAUAAGUUUAGAAGAAGGGUAUUUGGAUAAAGAUGAAUAGCAUCAAAUCAAGAGGAAAUAGAAAUUAUGAGACAUUCUCUCAAAAAAAAAAACACAAGUGAACGAACAAGAUCUUCAAUUACAGAAGAAAUAGCUCUUCGAAAUAAGAGGAAAUGAAAAUUAUGAGACAUUCUCUCCAAAAACAAAAAAAAACACAUGCGAAAUUAUGAGACACAAACUAGGGAUUUGAGGAAAAUAAAGAUACGGUGUAUCAUCGGCGAAAUUUGCUCAUGUGAGGUUUUAAAUGGAUAAAUAUAACCCUUUGAUCAAAUAAAAUAGACGGUUAAGAUUUGGUGUCAACGAAUCCGUUGACAUCUGGUGUCAACGGAUCCUGACUCAUAUAUAUAUAUAUAUAUAUAUAUANCAAAGAGGGAAAUGAAAAUGGAAAAGGGGGAGUAAUAAAGAAAGAAAGAUAUUUUUUACUCAGAAAAAAGAAUUCAAGAAAGAAAAUUAUGUAGACAUAUGUGAUUGAAGGGGAUCAUUUACUUAUCAAUAAUAAUUUGAUUUGAUGAAUAAGAUUUUUACUCAUGAUGUUGAAUAUUGAAAAAUGUUACGAUUGUUCUUGAUGUACGUUACAUAAUAGUAUAUAUUUGAGAAAUUAAAAAACAAAAAAACAAUUACAAAGAAGGUAACUAAAAUGGAAAAAAGAAAGGGACAAAGAAAGAUGAAAGAAAAACAAGUAUGAAUAUGUGAUUGAUCUUACUUGUUGUUGAGGUUGAACGGUGCUUACGGAUUUAACAGUGUCUAUGUAAGCUUUUAAGGCAGUUUCUGGAGACCAAACAAGCUUCAUGAUGGAAAAUAUCACUUUCUUGAUUUUCUUUCACUUUCUUGUGUGAGUGUUGUUAUCUUCACUUUCCUGAUUUUCUUUCACUUUCUUUUGUGUCUUACAAGAACAAAGAUGGAGGAAGGUACAGAGGUACAAGUUGACGUACGGGGAAAGGGGUUAGGUGAGUAUAUAACUUGAUAAGUAGUGAUGCAUAGAUAUGAAUAUAGGGAUUGAGAGAGAGAGAGAGAGAGAGAGAGAGAGAGAGAGAGAGAGAGAGAGAGAGAGGGAGAGAGGGAGAGAAGAGUUGACAUUUUGCCAAGGCAAGUUGAACGUGUAGAUUAUAAUAAGCCAAAAAUAUAAAAGGAAAGAAAAUAGUGUUGUCGUAGAUAUAAGUCACAGCCAAAUGUUUUCG